rnacentral:rRNA from 1 species
GACGAACGCUGGCGGCGUGCUUAACACAUGCAAGUCGAGCGGUAAGGCCCUUUCGGGGGUACACGAGCGGCGAACGGGUGAGUAACACGUGGGUGACCUGCCUUUAGCUCUGGGAUAAGCCUGGGAAACCGGGUCUAAUACCGGAUAUGACUCCGCGGCGCAUGUUGUGGGGUGGAAAGCCUUGUGCGGCUGGAGAUGGGCCCGCGGCCUAUCAGCUUGUUGGUGGGGUGAUGGCCUACCAAGGCGACGACGGGUAGCCGGCCUGAGAGGGCGACCGGCCACACUGGGACUGAGACACGGCCCAGACUCCUACGGGAGGCAGCAGUGGGGAAUCUUGCGCAAUGGGCGAAAGCCUGACGCAGCGACGCCGCGUGAGGGAUGACGGCCUG